GCCGCACACAGUCCGAGCUCCGGACGAAAAAAACACAAUUAUCCCUAUAAUACCGGUCAAACCUACCAGACCGGAGACAAAACGGGUGCCAAAGCUGCUGAAGCAGAAAUGGGUCGAAAAAUGAAGAAACCCAAGCCCGACAAGCCACGGCAGCAAGCAAGCAUAGGCGAUCUCUGGAGGCAGGCUCAGGGCGCGAUGGGCCCUGACAUGGCCGCCUUCCCGGACGAGUACUCCGACCUCUCAGACGACUUCACGGCAGACCCAGAGGUAGCUACCAAAACUGCCCCACAGAACCCUCGCCAAGCCUCUCCACAAGCUGAUUCUACCCCAGUCACCACGGCGGUGCUGAAAGAACUGCUCGCUGGGGUACAGCUCGCUCUACAGGCAGACAUGGCCCAGAUACAUAC